AUUGAACGCUGGCGGCAGGCCUAACACAUGCAAGUCGAACGAGUGGCGGACGGGUGAGUAAUGUCUGGGAAACUGCCUGAUGGAGGGGGAUAACUACUGGAAACGGUAGCUAAUACCGCAUACCAUCGGAUGUGCCCAGAUGGGAUUAGCUGGUUGGUGGGGUAACGGCUCACCAAGGCGACGAUCCCUAGCUGGUCUGAGAGGAUGACCAGCCACACUGGGACGGAGACACGGCCCAGACUCCUACGGGAGGCAGCAGUGGGGAAUAUUGCACAAUGGGCGCAAGCCUGAUGCAGCCUUGCCGCGUGGAUGAAGAAGGCCUUAGGGUUGUAAAGUACUUUCAGUGGGGAGGCGUUACCGGCAGAAGAAGCACCGGCUAACUCCGUGCCAGCAGCCGCGGUAAUUC
rnacentral:rRNA from 1 species